rnacentral:rRNA from 1 species
UACGGAGAGUGCGAACGUUGUUCGGAUUCACUGGGCGUAAAGGGCACGUAGGCGGCUUGGCAAAUCGGUCGUGGAAUCCCGACGCUUACCGUCGGAACGGCGGCCGAAAAUACCGAGCUCGAGGGCGUGAGGGGUCACUGGAACUCCUGGUGAAGCGGUGAAAUGCGUAGAUAUCAGGAGGAACGCCGGAGGCGAAAGCGAGUGACUGGCGCGUUCCUGACGCUGAGGUGCGAAAGCUAGGGGAGCAAAAGGG